rnacentral:rRNA from 1 species
AGCGAACGCUGGCGGCAGGCCUAACACAUGCCAGUCGAACGAACUCUUCGGAGUUAGUGGCGGACGGGUGAGUAACACGUGGGAACGUGCCUUUUGGUUCGGAAUAACUCAGGGAAACUUGUGCUAAUACCGAAUGUGCCCUUCGGGGGAAAGAUUUAUCGCCAUUAGAGCGGCCCGCGUCUGAUUAGCUAGUUGGUGAGGUAACGGCUCACCAAGGCGACGAUCAGUAGCUGGUCUGAGAGGAUGACCAGCCACACUGGGACUGAGACACGGCCCAGACUCCUACGGGAGGCAGCAGUGGGGAAUCUUGCGCAAUGGGCGAAAGCCUGACGCAGCCAUGCCGCGUGAAUGAUGAAGGUCUUAGGAUUGUAAAAUUCUUUCACCGGGGACGAUAAUGACGGUACCCGGAGAAGAAGCCCCGGCGAACUUCGU